rnacentral:rRNA from 1 species
AGGGUGUAAACGCUGCAGACUUGGUGUUGGAGGCCCUUUGGGGGCAUUCAGUGCCGGAGAGAAGUUGUUAAGUCUGCUACUUGGGGAGUACGUCCGCAAGGAUGAAACUUAAGGAAUUGGCGGGGGAGCACCGCAACGGGAGGAGCGUGCGGUUUAAUUGGAUUCAACACCGUAAAACUCACCAGGGAAGACUGUUACAUGAAGGCCGAGAUGAAGACUCUGCUAGAUUUUCAGAGAGGUGGUGCAUGGCGUCAGUGACU